rnacentral:rRNA from 1 species
CACGUAGGGUGCGAGCGUUGUCCGGAAUUAUUGGGCGUAAAGAGCUCGUAGGCGGCGUGUCGCGUCGGCCGUGAAAACCUGCAGCUUAACUGUGGGCUUGCGGUCGAUACGGGAAUCACUGGAGUUCGGCAGGGGAGACUGGAAUUCCUGGUGUAGCGGUGAAAUGCGCAGAUAUCAGGAGGAACACCGGUGGCGAAGGCGGGUCUCUGGGCCGAUACUGACGCUGAGGAGCGAAAGCGUGGGGAGCGAACAGG